GUCCUAGCCGUAAACGGUGGGUGCUAGGUGUGGGAUCGCAAGAUUUCCGUGCCGCAGCUAACGCAUUAAGCACCCCGCCUGGGGAGUACGGCCGCAAGGCUAAAACUCAAAGGAAUUGACGGGGCCCGCACAAGCGGCGGAGCGCGUGGCUUAAUUCGAUGCAAAGCGAAGAACCUUACCAGGGCUUGACAUGCUGGAAGUAGUCGCCCGAAAAGGGUCGGCGACCCGUUGAGUCGGGUACCAGCACAGGUACUGCAUGGCUGUCGU
rnacentral:rRNA from 1 species